GUUUGUCAACAGCAGGGACAAAAGGAGGAUGCUUGUGCUGGGCCCCCAAACUCAGAGGGGCUAUGCACCCCCAAGAAUCUUGGACAUUAGUUUCUCAUACAGUACAGAAGUCAAAUGAACACAAGAAUAAAGUGCCGCACUCCUGUGACAAAAAUGAGAACACCAGCUGGUAGAGUCCAGAAGAACUACUGUAGUUAGGAGAACAAAGCAGAUCUGAGACAAGAGAGUAGCAGCUUUGAAAACCCAGUAUCAUGGACUGCCUGACAUAACCACCCUGUUAGUGGUAGACUCCAAACAUUAAAAAAACAUACUGUAACAGA